rnacentral:SRP_RNA from 1 species
AACUGGGUUCUAUGCAAGGUGGGUUUGUGAACCCCGCCAGGGCAGGAAUGCAGCAACGGUAGUCAAAAACACUUGUGCCGUAGAGUGCCUGGUUGCU